UGCGCGGUAGGACAGUUCGGAAGUCCGCCGGGCUCAUAACCCGGAAGUCGCAGGUUCAAAUCCUGCCCGCGCAACUA
rnacentral:tRNA from 4 species